AUUACCUUGAAGAAAUUAGAGUGUUCAAAGCAGGCAUUUUGCUCGAAUACAUUAGCAUGGAAUAAUAGAAUAGGACUCGACCUUUAUUGUUGGUUUUAGAGGUCGAGUAAUGAUUAAUAGGAACGGUCGGGGGCAUUCGUAUUGUCGUGUCAGGAGUGAAAUCUGUUGACCACGAUUGGACGAACUAAUGCGAAGGCAUUUGUCAAGGACGUUUCCAUUGAUCAAGAACGAAAGUUAGGGGAUCGAAGACGAUUAGAUACCGUCGUAGUCUUAACCGUAAACGAUGCCGACUAGGGAUUCGACGAUAGUCAAUUGGGACACGUCGAGCACCUUGUGAGAAAUCAAAGUUUUUGGGUUCUGGGGGGAGUAUUGUCGCAAGGCUGAAACUUGAAGGAAUUGACGGGAGGGCACCACCAGGAGUGGAGCCUGCGGCUUAAUUUGACUCAACACGGGAAAACUCACCAGGUCAGGAGGUAGUAAGGAUUGACAGAUUGAGAGCUCUUUCAUGAUUCUAUCAAUGGUGGUGCAUGGCCGUUCUUAGUUGGUGGAUUGAUCUGUCUGGUUAAUUCCGAUAACGAACGAGACCUUAACCUGCUAAUUAGUACGCAUCAGUACUCCUUUUUUGGAUUCUACUGGUGUCUCGUACUUCUUAGAGGGACUAAUUACUCAAAGUAAUAGGAAGUUUGAGGCAAUAACAGGUCUGUGAUGCCCUUAGAUGUCCUGGGCCGCACGCGCGCUACACUGAUAAAGGCAACGAGUCCAUUCUUUGGCCGAAAGGCCCGAGUAAUCUUGAAACUUUAUCGUGCUGGGGAUAGUUCAUUGCAAUUAUUGAACUUUAACGAGGAAUUCCUAGUAAGCACGAGUCAUUAGCUCGUGUUGAUUACGUCCCUGCCCUUUGUACACACCGCCCGUCGCUACUACCGAUUGGAUGGUUUAGUGAGGCCUCCUGACU
rnacentral:rRNA from 1 species